CGCCCGGUGUCAGGAACAUGCAGUGCAUUUCCCAUACUUGUCUCUUGAACAUGAGCUAUCAAGUGGCCUGGCUGUGCAUCUUUCUUGUGGUUUCCUGAUGUGCCUUGGGGGUGCGGGCAGAGUUGUGUGCUGUGCCUUGACAGCCAGAGUCCCAGCACCCUCCCAUAGGUUGGGUCUCAGCACUGUCGGAGUCUUCCUCAGCAUCUGGGAACAUGGUUUUGCUGCAGACACGCUCCUCCGGCUCUUGUGUCCGGGAGUCACUAGCAGGCAGCUUUACGACAGCCUUUCACGGCUCCUGCGGGGAGGGAAUCGUCAGUACGGGAUUCAAAACAGAUGACGCCUCUCUGGGCCCCAGGAGGACAGCUCGGGAAAACACAAGCACCUAGAACCGAAACACAAAUACCAGAACUCGUGCACAGCCUUGAUUAGCAGAAUAUGCAGCCGUUCACCUCCAUGUCGCUGGGUCAAACCAGCUUGGCAGAGCUGGAGAGCGGCUACCAGGAGAUGGCUGUUUGAUGGCCCCUGGGCAGUGAGCUUGGUGGGUCUCAGCUCAGACCUCAGAAAACAAAGAGCGCCAUGAACAGCAUUAACUGGUGGCUUCCUUGGAGUUUUGACCAAGGAUAAUGAACUGUCCUGGUCUUGCUGGAAGCAGUCCCUUCAUGCAAUGGGUGAGAGUCCACCAAGCAGAUAGCUGCCUGUAAGGGUCCUGUCCCAGCAAUGAGACCGCCAGGUUCAGGACUGUUGAUCUGGCAUGUGCCAUCAGAUCUAAAUUCAUAUGGCAUCCUGCUUUAUGCUCCAUGUUUCUUCCUGGGUGGACCAACCUGCUGUCCCUAUGGUGAGGAGCUCAUUCAUUACCAACUACUGAGCUGACUGGUAGUUUCCCUUCACCCCAACCUCCUCCUCACUGGAUUUUCUUUUCUGUUUGGUGGGUGAAGCAAACUCCACUGAGUUAUCACGGGGCAGUUAAGUGGGUCAGCAGCCUGUUUUGCUUGCGGCAGUCAUGAAAAUGGACACAGAUGAACGUAGGAACUUGGCAAGAAAACUCCAAUUAAGACAUUGAUGUGCAGGCACGCAUGGUCUGAGCAGAAAUAGGCACAGAACGAGAUCGGUGACGGCUUUCAUGUGGCAAGGGCCCAAUCGUGAACUUAGGAAACUUGACAGCAUCCUCGAUAGGGUACUGCUGUUCUCACCGCACAUCCUCGCACCGCGCUCCUAUGAGGCCAGGAAAGAUGAGUCCACUUUUCAUGUUUGUGGAAACCGAGGCAGAGAGGAACUAAGUGACUUUCCUAUGGUCACAGAGAGAGUCUGUUGCAGAGCUGGGAAGAGCGAGCUGCACGCGUGCGCCCAAGUCUCACCUCUGUGAAGACCCACAUUCAUUUUCUCUUCAUUAAGGACUGUCAAACUCUUUCCGCUGUACUGUUCCUGCAGGAGAUUUCUGCCUUACUUUCAUAAAGACAAGGCAGUGGGGAAUGGCCAGUCUUAUAAACCAUCAGUUAAGCCUUGCUAACUGUAGCCACCCCUGAGGACUGCAACCUUCGUUGCCUCUUCUCCGAACACAGCCUUAUACGACAUUCCUGGCUCUUUCACAAGGCCAGCCCGUCACAAGCAGAACCGGAGAUGCCUCCUCUAAGUGUUAUGGGAUAUCUUCUGCUGCACGUGCAUCGAACCACAUUUCCACUCGGCGAUGGAUUUGACCAUUUCUUAGCAGAAGAGAUUCCCAUUUGCUCGCGCAGUGACUGGUUUGAGGACCCUGGAGGCCUCCAUGGGGGACCAGAGAACUGGCUGGUGGACCCUCCAGGGACCAAGAGAACUGAACACAAUUAUGGAACAACAGGUCACAAAAUUAAACUAGUAGGUAGUAAGUUGAAAGCCAACCAAAGGAAGUUUGUUUUUCACCCAGCGUGCAAUGGAAGUGUGGAAUGCAUUGCCACCAGAUGUGGCAGAUGUUAGCCAGAUUAAAAAAGGGAUGGACAUAUUCAUGGAGGAAAAGGGGCAUCAGUAGCUAUUGUGCAUGGGAGUUAGGGAUACAGCCUCUGAAUCAGAAUUUCCUAGACCGUAAAUGCUGGAGGCUGCAAGUGGGAGAGGAACAGGGGGAAAAACUCUGAUCAUACUCAGUUCACUCCCCCUUUCAGCAUCCACGCUCUGCCACUGUGUGACACUGGAUGUUGGGUGAGAUGGACCCAUGGUCUGACCCAGUAAAUGACAGUUCUUAUGUUCUUGGACAAUCUACAACUCAGCUGGUUUUGUUAACACAAAUUUUACUAUAAGACUUUGGAGAAAAACUCUUUGAUAAGUAUUCAGCAGGCCGUCCCUUCCACUUACAACCAGAAUGCUCCUAAUUUACAUGUAUUAGUCAGGAAAGUGUUUCAGAAAAAAAGCAAAACUAAGACUUGAGUUUUUUUUAAUACUGGGUAUUUGCUUAGGGAAAAAAAGUGGUGGGAAAUUAUUUUUAAGCGACAAAUUAAUUGCACCUUUCAGUCUUCCUUCAUUCAGCACAGAAUUGCAGUAGUUGACCCUAAAAUGACGAUGUAGGAAUAAUGUAUUUACUCAAAUACAAGACACAUUUUCUCCCCCAAUCAGCAGUGGGUGGGGUAUGUCUUGGAUUUGAGCACUGGGCUGGGGCAGGCAGAGGCUCAGAGCUGAGCCAUUGCCUGCCCCAGGGUCAAGGUGGUUCUUGUGGAGGGGCAGGGGGGCAUGGGGGAGACUUGUGUGUGUUGCUUAGGGGGAGCAUGGGGGAGCUUGCUUUCUCCCCUGCUGCUUACCUUCAGCUCAGGCUCCAGCUCCGAACCAGCCAGGCUGGGGCCCAGAGCUGCUGCUGCUGUUUCUACCUGGCUGGGCGGGGUGAGGCUGGACUGGGACCACGGCCACUGACUGCCCCAGAGCCGGAGCAGAGCAGAGCAGCAGAAGGUAAGUGGCAGGGGGAGGGAGGGGUAG